ensembl:snRNA U2 U2 spliceosomal RNA
AUCGCUUCUCUGCCUUUUGGCUAAGAUCAAGUGCAAUAUCUGUUCUUAUCAGCUUAAUUUUCCUAUCUUCAAGUUCACUGAUUAUUUUCUCUGCCUGCUCAAAUCUGCUUUUAAAUCUUUGUAUUGAUAAAUAUCUUUAACUAUUAGAGAGAUGCAAAUUAAACCCCUA